UGCACUAAUACUGAGGCAUCUGUCUCUCAG
rnacentral:piRNA from 1 species